UUAUUUUAUAAAUUUAUUUAAUGGGUAGUAAAAGUUAUGUUCUUGAAACUCAAAAAUUUUGGCGGUAUUUUAUUCUAUUCAGAGGAACUUGUCCUAUAAUUGAUAAUCCACGUUGGACCUUUCUUUAAUUUGUUAAAUUUAUAUAUCGUCGUUAUAAGAGGUUUUUAUAAGAAUAUUAAAUUUCUAGAAUUAUUAUAUUAAUUUAUAUCAGAUAAAGGUGUAGUUUAUGUUAAAGUAGAUGAUGAGUUACAAUAAAUUUAUUUAUACGGAUAUAAAAUUGAAAUUUAAUUUAUUGAAGGUGGAUUUGAUAGUAAAUUUAUAUAGAUUAAUAAAUUGAUAUUAGUUCUAAAAUGUGU
rnacentral:rRNA from 1 species